AGAGAAUAGAUACCCGGGUAGUCCACGCCGUAAACUAUGGAUGCUAGCUGUUAUCGGUAUCGACCCCGGUAGUAGCGAAAGCUAAACGCGUUAAGCAUCCCGCCUGUGGAGUACGAGCGCAAGCUUAAAACAUAAAGGAAUUGACGGGGACCCGCACAAGCGGUGGAGCGUGUUGUUUAAUUCGACGGUAAACGAAGAACCUUACCCAGGCUUGACAUCCUGCUAAGAUUUCCGAAAGGAAAUUGUGCCUUCGGGCCGCAGCGACAGGUGCUGCAUGGUCGUCGUCAGCUCGUGUCGUGAGAUGUUUGGUUAAGUCCAUCAACGAGCGCAACCCUUAUAGUCAGUUGGAUUUUUCUGGCUAGACUGCCCCGGUAACGGGGAGGAAGGAGGGGAUGAUGUCAGAUCAUUAUUGCCCUUACGUCUGGGGCUACAAACACGCUACAAUGGCCGGUACAAAGGGCAGCCAACCCGCGAGGGGAGCAAAUCCCAUCAAAGCCGGUCUCAGUUCGGAUUGUAGGCUGAAACUCGCCUGCAUGAAGCUGGAAUC
rnacentral:rRNA from 1 species